AGCUAUCAGUGGCCAAUCCCAUCGCAACAUCCUGCAGCAAUCCUUCCGGAACGGUGACCCCGGUACCAGCAUCCCCCAGGUAUCCCUCCCGUCCAUCUAGCAGGCAUCUCCACUGCUUCCUCGCCAUUCGUGAUCGAACGACGGCCAAUCGGAAGGCUUCCACUGAGCAGUCAAAUCAAGCUACUAGUAAAAUUCCAAACCAAUCUUGAAGUGAGGUAAAAGCGAAAUCAUGGAUGAGUUAAGGUCAUCAGUCGAUGAGGAUACA